rnacentral:rRNA from 1 species
AUUGAACGCUAGCGGGAUGCUUUACACAUGCAAGUCGAACGAGUGGCGGACGGGUGAGUAAUAUAUUGGAAAGUGACCAGUCGCGGGGGAUAACUACUCGAAAGAGUGGCUAAUACCGCUUACUAUUGUAGCGGCCGGUAUCGGAUUAGCGAGUUGGUGGGGUAAAGGCUCAACAAGGCAACGAUCCGUAGCUGGUUGGAGAGGACGACCAGCCACACUGGGACUGAGACACGGCCCAGACUCCUACGGGAGGCAGCAGUGGGGAAGAUUGGACAAUGGGGGAAACCCUGAUCCAGCCAUCCCGCGUGUAUGAGAAGGCCUUCGGGUUGUAAAGUACUUUUGGCAGAGAAGCGGUAUCUGCAGAAUAAGCACCGGCUAACUACGUGCCAGCAGCCGCGGUAAUUC